ACCCUAACUCAUGAAAGGAAAAAAUUGGGUGAAGAUUGGUGAAGGUUCAUGCUCCAAAUCACAGAGAAGAAAAGGUAAUCCCCAGACUUAGAUGGAUUGGUGCGAUGGAGGACUCAGCGGUGACCAGAAUAAUUUUUGGACUUGA